rnacentral:rRNA from 2 species
GAUUAUUGGGCGUAAGCGCGCGCAGGCGGUCCUUUAAGUCUGAUGUGAAAGCCCACGGCUCAUCCGUGGAGGGUCAUUGGAAACUGGGGGACUUGAGUGCACCUGAGGAAAGCGGAAUUCCACGUGUAGCGGUGAAAUGCGUAGAGAUGUGGAGGAACACCAGUGGCGAAGGCGGCUUUCUGGUCUGUAACUGACGCUGAGGCGCGAAAGCGUGGGGAGCAAACAGGAUUAGAUACCCUGGUAGUCCACGCCGUAAACGAUGAGUGCUAAGUGUUAGAGGCUUUCCGCCCUUUAGUGCUGCAGCUAACGCAUU